rnacentral:rRNA from 1 species
GACGACGACUCCUACGGGAGGCAGCAGUGGGGAAUAUUGCACAAUGGGCGCAAGCCUGAUGCAGCCAUGCCGCGUGUAUGAAGAAGGCCUUCGGGUUGUAAAGUACUUUCAGCAGUGAGGAAGGUGGGUAUGUUAAUAGCAUACUCAUUUGACGUUAGCUGCAGAAGAAGCACCGGCUAACUCCGUGCCAGCAGCCGCGGUAAUACGGAGGGUGCGAGCGUUAAUCGGAAUUACUGGGCGUAAAGCGCAUGCAGGUGGUUUGUUAAGUCAGAUGUGAAAGCCCGGGGCUCAACCUCGGAAUUGCAUUUGAAACUGGCAAACUAGAGUACUGUAGAGGGGGUAGAAUUUCAGGUGUAGCGGUGAAAUGCGUAGAGAUCUGAAGGAAUACCGGUGGCGAAGGCGGCCCCUGGACAGAUACUGACACUCAGAUGCGAAAGCGUGGGGAGCAAACAGGAUUAGAUACCCUGGUAG